GUCGAAAAAAAACGUUGAAUGAGUCAGAUGCGGGUCGGAUGGUGCCGCAGGCUAAUUAUCUCGCCCAAAUCCACAAGCGCUCGAUUCAAAAGUUCCUAUAAUAUUUAAGCCUAAAGAUAAAACAUAACAUAGUACAAACUAUCGCCGCUAACUUAAAGUAAUUCACGAUUGAACUAGCUAAUAACCCAACUUACUCCAAGUCUAAACGCACGGAAACAUAAGUGCAAAAACAAAAUCAGCAAGCAGAAAUCGAAUGCCCUUAUUUAAAGGAUCAGCAUUCCAUUCGUCGAAUGGCUUAAGGAUUCAACUUUUCAUAAGCACCUCAGAAAACUCCUAGUCUGGUAAGGGGUGACUAUGCGAUUGACUCAAUAAAUUGGUCCAAUAAUGGUAAUGACGACGGCUCUCCAAUGUCCAGUUCUGAUGUGGAAACUUUUAAUGGGAAAAUAGUUUACAAUCUUGAUGGCAGCGCACACAUCAUCGCCACAGAUAAUACCAAUGGAGGUGGAUCAGGGUCUGGCCAAAAUUGUUAUGGUUCAGCAUCGAAUUCACUAAAGAACCUGUCAAAGGCUAAAGAUCGAAGGCAGGAAGAGAUAGAUAUAGAACACCCGUCCCAGUAUCAUCUAGAGCAAAGCGAGAACAAGAGGCAGGAGGAAGCUGUGGAUACUCGUCCUGGUUUCGAAUCCUUAGGAGGCGCUUGCCACAAAUCAAGUCCAAAAAUCCAUUCCUUUCGUGUGGUGUCCGCACAAGAUGCUAACUCAACUUGUCAGGAUCAAAUCAGAGCAUUUAAAAUCCAGAAACCAAUUUUAAUGUGUUUUAUAUGCAAGUUGUCUUUCGGCAACGUUAAGUCCUUUAGCUUGCAUGCAAACACUGAACACCGACUCAAUUUGGAAGAGCUGGACCAGCAGCUACUUAAUCGCGAGUACUCCAGUGCCAUUAUACAAAGAAAUAUGGAUGAAAAGCCACAGAUAUCCUUUCUACAGCCCUUGGGUAAUAAUGACGCCUCUGCUGAUAGCAAUGAUACCGAGAAGCUUCAAACAGCAACUGAGGGCAGUGACGCCACUCUGCCUUCGUCUCCGCACCCAGUUAUCAGGAAUGACUCUGAACUUGAGCCCGAAAAUAAGCAAGAGACUGAGCAGAAUCGGCUCCUGAACCAGGACCGGGAGCAAGAGUCUGAAUCAGAUCAGCACACUAGUAGUAGUAAAAUGGCGGCACCUAGUGCAUAUAUCCCAUUAUCAUCGCCCAAAGUAGCGGGAAAAUUAACUGUGAAAUUUGGUUCCUUAAACUCAGCAACAGCAAAGACUAAUAACCUAUCAAAAGUUUCCUCAACCAGUUCACCACCAUCGACAUACGCAUCCGGGGAAGUCUUAUCACCCAGUACUGAUAAUAUAAGUAACCAUAAGUCAACACAUUGCAACCAAGAAACAGAGCCACCCUCGUCGUCUUCGUCAGAGGUGGAAAUGAAGAUUGGCUCUAUGUCCACAUCACCUCAAACAAAUGAUUCGGAUGUUCCAUGCUCAGGUUUUUUGCAAAUGCAGCACAUGACAACAGGUGGUGCAUAUACUCCUCAAGUCAGUUCCUUCCAUGCAUCUUUAGCUGCGCUGGCCGCCAACGAAUCAAAUGACAACCGGGUUAAGCUGAUCACAGAGUUCCUUCAACAACAGCUGCAGCAACAUCAGAGUUCCUUAUUUCCAAGCCCAUGUCCCGAUCACCCCGACCUCAAUGGUGUGGACUGCAAAACCUGCGAACUCCUUGACAUCCAGCAGCGGUCAAAGUCACCGUCUUCUUCACAUCACCAGUUUUCUCAAUCUCUUCCCCAGCUGCAAAUUCAGUCGCAGCCCCAGCAAACCCCACAUCGCUCACCUUGCAGCAACAGUGUUACCCUGGCCGUAUCACCAAGCGCCUCCUCGGUGGCCAGCGCUGGAAAUGCGUCGACCGCCACAUCCAGCUUUACAAUCGGCGCCUGUUCCGAGCACAUCAAUGGUCGUCCCCAAGGAGUAGACUGUGCGCGCUGUGAAAUGCUUCUAAACUCGGCUCGAUUAAAUAGCGGCGUGCAAAUGUCCACUCGCAAUUCCUGCAAGACUCUUAAAUGCCCCCAAUGCAAUUGGCACUAUAAAUAUCAGGAAACUUUGGAGAUCCACAUGAGGGAGAAACAUCCAGAUGGGGAGAGUGCUUGUGGUUAUUGCCUUGCAGGACAACAGCAUCCUCGGCUGGCACGGGGGGAAUCCUACUCUUGCGGUUAUAAACCGUACCGCUGUGAAAUCUGUAACUACUCCACGACCACCAAGGGUAAUCUUUCCAUUCAUAUGCAAUCGGACAAACAUCUGAACAAUAUGCAGGAGCUAAACAGCUCUCAAAAUAUGGUUGCAGCUGCGGCUGCUGCAGCGGUGACUGGCAAACUGCUGCUGUCCAGCUCCUCGCCCCAAGUAACCGCUGCAGGUUCAUCCAACAGCGGGUCUGGCGCAGGCAGUGGCUCAUCCAACAUUGUCGGCGGCACCACAUCCCUGAGCGGAAGCGCAACGCCUUCCGCAACUGGAGCAAAUAGUUCCAAUGCCAAUGCCGGAAGCAAUACAAACAACGCCGGUACCAAGCCAAAGCCUUCAUUUCGAUGCGACAUCUGCAGCUAUGAUACUUCCGUGGCCCGCAACCUGCGCAUCCACAUGACCAGCGAGAAACACACCCACAACAUGGCAGUGCUUCAGAAUAAUAUCAAGCACAUCCAGGCAUUUAAUUUCUUACAGCAACAGCAACAGAGCGGCACUGGGAAUAUUGCUGGCCACAGCUCCGGAACCUUUAUGCCCGAGGUGGCUCUGGCUGAUCUCGCGUACAACCAGGCCCUUAUGAUCCAGCUUCUUCACCAACAGCAACAACAUCAGCAGUCAGCUAAUACCAAACUAUCGCCGUCGUCUUCGCCCGUGAGCACUCCUGAUCAGUUUUCCUUUUCUCCCAAGCCAAUAAAGCUCAAUCAUGGAACAGGAGCUGCCAUGGGGAUAGGAAUGGCAAUGGGAAUGGGAAUGAGCCACUCAAACGAAGUGUCCGGCGAAUUAUCAGGGGAUCCUCACCCGCUAACAAAAACGGAUAAAUGGCCCACGGCUUUCUACAGCUGCCUAAUCUGCGAUUGCUUCAGUACGAACAACCUGGACGAUCUGAACCAGCAUUUGCUGCUAGAUCGAUCCCGACAAUCCUCCAGCGCAUCCUCCGAAAUAAUGGUUAUUCACAAUAACAACUAUAUAUGCCGGCUGUGCAACUACAAGACGAAUCUCAAGGCAAAUUUCCAACUACACAGCAAGACGGACAAGCACUUGCAGAAGCUCAACUUUAUCAACCACAUCAGAGAGGGCGGUCCCCGGAACGAGUAUAAAAUGCAGUAUCAGCAGCAGCUUGCCGCAAAUGUAGUGCAACUUAAGUGCAACUGCUGCGACUUCCACACAAAUUCUAUCCAGAAGCUGGGUCUGCACACACAACAGAUGCGUCACGACACAAUGCGAAUGAUAUUUCAGCAUUUACUGUACAUUGUUCAGCAAAGUGAAAUGCACAAUAAGUCGUCGGGUUCUGCUGAAGAAGAUCCUCAAUGCGCCUGCCCGGAUGAAGAUCAGCAAGUGCAGUUGCAGUCGUCCAAAAAACUGCUCCUGUGUCAGCUGUGCAACUUCACCGCUCAGAACAUCCAUGAAAUGGUACAGCAUGUGAAAGGAAUAAGACACUUGCAAGUCGAGCAAUUUAUCUGUUUGCAGCGUCGCAGUGAGAACAAAGAAAUACCCGCACUGAACGAAGUAUUCAAAGUGACGGAAUGGGUCAUGGAAAACGAAGAUGUUUCUUUCGCAUCUGGCCUAAAUUUGGCUAGAACCGCAUCCAAUGAUGCAACGGAUGCCAGCUAUGCUGCGGCAUCAUCUGCGGCAGCUCCGGCCAUUCCAGAUGUCAGUAUGUUUUCACCAACAUCUCCCUCAAGUUGCGCAACAUCUUGCGAUAAGAAUUUGAGUCAAAUUGUAUCGCCAAACGUAAAUAAACUUGGUUCAGGCGUCCCUACAACAGUAUUCAAGUGUAAUCUCUGCGAAUACUUCGUCCAAUCUAAAAGCGAAAUUGCGUCUCAUAUUGAGACUGAGCACUCAUGUGCUGAGAGUGAUGAAUUUAUAACUAUACCAACCAACACGGCUGCCCUGCAGGCUUUCCAAACAGCUGUGGCUGCAGCUGCUCUAGCUGCCGUGCAUCAAAGAUGCGCUGUUAUAAAUCCACCGAUACAGGAGACCGUCGAUGAAGACAAGGACUUAGAUACGAAUGUCAGUGACGCUCCUCUGGGCAUAAAACAAGAGCGCGUCGAACAGGAAGUUGAUCGCACGACAUCAAUGGAGGAUAUUAAAGACUUGGCCUCCCAAGCGACAGAAUCUGGAGCUCCAGAGUCGCCAAAAGUUGCAGAAACUGAAGUUGGGGUACAGUGUCCGCUUUGCCUCGAGAACCAUUUCCGGGAAAAACAGUACUUGGAGGACCAUUUAACAAGCGUUCAUAGCGUUACAAGAGAUGGCCUCUCCCGGCUCUUACUUCUGGUGGAUCAGAAAGCUUUGAAAAAAGAGAGCACAGAUAUAGCAUGCCCUACAGACAAAGCUCCAUACGCAAAUACGAAUGCGCCCGAGAGAGCACCAUCCCCUAUUGAAAACACCUGCAACGUUAGCCUUAUCAAAUCAACCUCAGCUAACCCAAGCCAGUCAGUGAGCUUGCAAGGACUAUCUUGCCAGCAAUGUGAGGCAAGCUUCAAGCACGAGGAACAGCUACUUAAGCAUGCCCAACAGAAUCAGCACUUUCCUUUGCAAAACGGGGAGUAUUUGUGUCUUGCAGCCAGCCACGUUAGCCGUCCUUGCUUCAUGAGUUUCAGAACCAUUCCAGCUAUGAUCAGCCACUUUCAAGACAUGCACAUCAGCCUGAUUAUCUCGGAGCGCCAUGUCUACAAGUAUCGUUGCAAACAGUGCUCCUUAGCAUUUAAAACACAGGAAAAACUUACCACGCAUAUGCUCUACCAUUCGAUGCGGGAUGCUACAAAGUGCUCCUUUUGCCAACGUAACUUUCGCAGUACACAGGCGCUUCAGAAACACAUGGAGCAAGCACACGCUGAGGAUGGAACCCCAUCAACAAGGACAAACAGUCCGCAGACGCCGAUGUUAAGUACUGAGGAGACUAACAAGCAUCUUUUAGCGGAGUCCCAUGCAGGAGAAAGAGAAGUUUCAGGGAGUGAUGUCUCGCCAAUUGAACUGGAGGCGCACCUAAACAAAGAAACUAGACAUUUGUCACCUACUCCAAUGUCUCUCGAUUCCCAAUCACAUCAACAAUACCUCGCGACUUUCGCUGCUUUGCUCAAACAACAGCAGUGUAACUCAGAUGCUGGAGGCCUUCAUCCCGAAACGCUGUCUAUGUCCACUGGAGAGAUGCCCCCUCAAUUGCAGGGUCUACAAAAUCUUCAGCAUAUACAACAGCAUUUCGGAGCAGUUGCUGCCGCAUCGGGUCUUCCAAUUAACCCGGUCGAUAUGCUUAAUAUAAUGCAAUUUCACCACUUGAUGUCCCUCAACUUCAUGAACUUAGCACCGCCCCUAGUAUUCGGCGCCAAUGCUGCAGGCAAUGCAGUAUCUGGGUCAUCAGCGCAAAAUAACAGCAUUACAACCGCCACCGCAACAUCUGCUUCACUGGGUGAUACACAUCUUACCACUGGUGUCAGCUCUUUACCGGUAGAUUCGGGGAAAGCUACCGCAGUUCCACCUCAAACUCAGCUCAAUGCGAACGCAAACUCUCAGCAGCUGGCCAGCAACCAAAAACGAGCUCGAACGCGUAUUACAGAUGAUCAGCUUAAAAUAUUGCGGGCCCAUUUCGAUAUAAAUAAUUCGCCAAGCGAAGAGAGCAUUAUGGAGAUGUCUCAGAAAGCAAAUCUACCAAUGAAGGUGGUUAAACAUUGGUUCCGGAACACGCUAUUUAAGGAAAGACAACGUAAUAAGGACUCUCCUUAUAAUUUUAAUAAUCCACCAUCGACUACUCUGAAUUUAGAAGAGUAUGAACGUACAGGACAAGCCAAAGUUACCCCUUUAAAUGAUACUUGUAGCGUCGCAGUAACAGGACCAAUGACUUCAUCAACUAUUUCAUUACCACCAUCUGGUAGUACCAAUUUAAGCUCUAAAGAAAACGCAACUUCAAAAGUACUAGCGGCGGGAAAAGCUAACGCAUCAGGGCCUGUUACAUUUACUGCAACUGUUCCAGUUUCAACACCGUUAUCUCGUCCAGAAUCGACGAACUCAAGCGGCAAUAUAUCCGACUAUAUAGGCAAUAAUAUAUUUUUCGGACAGCUCGGGAGCAAGGACCAAAUCUUGCCGUACUCUUUAGACGGGCAAAUAAAGUCAGAGCCGCAGGAUGAUGUGAUUGGGGCAACUGAUUUUGCAUACCAAACAAAGCAGCAUUCAAAUUUUAGCUUUUUAAAACAGCAACAGGAUCUAGUGGAUCCCCCAGAACAGUGCUUGACAAAUCAAAACGCGGAUACGGUACAGGACCAAUCCUUGCUAGCGGGUUCGGCUCUUGCAUCCAAUUGUCAGAGUCAACAGCAAAUAAAUAUAUUUGAAACUAAAUCAGAAAGUGGGAGUUCCGAUGUACUGUCACGCCCUCCGUCUCCGAAUAGUGGAGCUGCCGGAAAUAUGUAUGGCAGCAUGAAUGAUUUAAUAAACCAGCAAUUGGAGAAUAUGGGUAGUAACAUGGGACCACCAAAAAAAAUGCAGAUUGUUGGAAAAACUUUUGAAAAGAACGUAGCUCCAAUGGUGACCUCAGGCAGUGUUAGUACUCAGUUCGAAAGCAACUCUUCAAACUCUUCGAGCUCCUCAUCGUCUACAUCAGGUGGCAAGCGAGCUAAUCGGACUCGUUUUACAGACUACCAAAUAAAGGUUUUGCAGGAGUUCUUCGAGAACAACUCAUAUCCAAAGGACAGCGAUCUCGAGUAUUUAAGCAAGCUUUUGUUACUGUCUCCCCGGGUUAUAGUAGUUUGGUUUCAAAACGCCAGACAAAAGCAACGUAAGAUUUAUGAAAACCAGCCGAACAAUACCCUGUUUGAAAAUGAGGAGACGAAAAAGCAAAACAUUAACUAUGCGUGCAAAAAGUGUAACUUGGUAUUUCAAAGGUACUACGAGCUAAUACGGCAUCAGAAAAAUCACUGCUUCAAAGAGGAGAAUAAUAAAAAGUCUGCCAAGGCACAAAUCGCUGCAGCUCAAAUCGCGCAGAAUUUGAGCUCGGAGGAUUCUAAUUCUUCCAUGGAUAUACACCAUGUCGGAAUUUGUCCACCAGGCUCAGCAGUUGUUUCGCAAACCCUGUCAACGCCGGGCUCGGCAGCUCCCCUUUCGGGACAGUACACCCAGCAUUCAUUUGGCGCACUGCCCUCGCCACAGCAUUUGUUUGCAAAGUCUUCUUCGCUUACUGACUUCAGUCCAUCCACGACCCCCACGCCGCCGCAACGAGAACGCAGCAACAGUUUAGAUCACCCUCAACGACCUCCCAAGUUUGAUUGCGACAAAUGCGAGCUGAAAUUUAACCAAUCGGAAAAAUUGCGAGAGCAUCAACUAUUACACCUGAUGAAUCCAGGAAACAUUUUUUCAGACGCAAGUCAGAACUCUAACCCUGAAGCCAAUUUCGGUCCCUUUGGCAGCAUUUUGCAAAGUCUACAACAAGCGGCGGCUCAACAGCAGCAGCUACAGCAUCAACCGCCGCCAACAAAAAAACGGAAAUACUCGGACUGCUCUUCCAAUGCAGAUGAAAUGCAGUCCCUGUCGGAGCUUGAGGCUUCACAAAAAAAGCACGAGUUCCUGUACAAGUAUUUUAUGCAGAAUGAAACGAGCCAAGAGGUAAAACAGCAGUUCCUCAUGCAACAACAACAAAAGAAAUUAGAACAAGGAAACGACUGCGAUUUUGAACUUGAUUUCCUAACUAACUUCUAUCAGCAGAGCGAAUUAAAAAAAGUCAGUAACUAUGACUUUUUACUACAGUACUAUCGCACACAUGAAGAGGCAAAAUCCAGCCAACAGCAUCUAUUUAGCUCCAGUAAAAAGCCUACCAUCGAGUUUCUACUUCAGUACUACCAACUUAAUGAGUCGAAAAAGUUUUUUCAGUUAGUUGCCUCGCCCCAAAUAAUUCCUGAUGUCCCAGGCUACAAGCCAUCCUCGCGAAUGCCAAAAUCCACUUCGGAUGAAGCCCCUUAUAUUGGAGAAACAUCAUUGGAGCAGGCAACAGAACUACAAAGAGAGAAACAAGAUGAACAACUACGCAUAGACAGGCCAAGCGAAGAAAACGAGUUAUCUAUGAACAAAAACAAAGUGGAAAAUAUUAAUAACAACAAUAUUGGCAUUCAUGUGGGCCAAAGCAAUUUAACCGCGACGAACGGCAUCCCUUCAGUUGAAACAAAAGACGAGUGUACGCAGGAAUCGUCAUUAAUUGCGAUGGAUGAUGAAAACAAGUAUCUAUGCGCGAGAUCCAAACAAAAAGAUGACAAGGAAAAGUCGCACUACUUACAUAAUCUUGAGGACUUCCUGGAUGCCACAAUGAUAGAGAACAACUCCCAGACUUUAACAUUUAAUGAUGACGAGAAAGCAUGCCAAAAAGAUGAACUUACUCAAAAUUCCAAUGCAAUUGAGAAGCGGUCCUCUGUGUCUCCGGUUAACGUUUCAUCCAAGCAAAAUAAGCGCUUACGAACAACCAUCCUUCCGGAGCAAUUGAACUUUUUGUAUGAAUGUUAUCAAUCCGAAUCAAAUCCAAGCAGAAAAAUGCUUGAAGAGAUAUCUAAGAAAGUUAACUUAAAGAAACGCGUAGUUCAAGUCUGGUUUCAAAAUUCACGGGCAAAAGACAAAAAAUCGCGGAAUCAGCGACAUUAUGCACACAUAUCUGACGAUAAUAGCUACGAUGGCUCUAGCGGGAAGGAGGCUUAUAGCGACCUAAGGUCCAACGGCAUAACCGUGGAUACGGACCUCGAAACAAAUCUACAGGACUGUCAGCUGUGUCAAGUCACCCAAGUCAACAUCCGAAAGCAUGCUUUUAGUGUCGAGCACAUUAGCAAAAUGAAGAAAUUGCUCGAACAAACCACCGAGCUCUAUGCACAGAGCAAUGGCAGUGGAAGCGAGGACAACGAUUCUGACAGGGAAAAACGAUUUUAUAACUUAUCAAAGGCAUUUUUGUUCCAACACGUUGUGACAAACGCGACAAGCCACUCUAUUCACACAGCUAGACAAGAUUCUGAUGCUAUUGCCGAAGGGAACUGUAUGCUUAACUAUGACACUAAUGGUGGCGAUUCCAAGAGUCAUGUCCAGCAUAAUUUACCUAACGAAGUCGUUUCUGAAGAUACGCGAAAAAUCGCUGGUAAUCAGGAACUUAUGCAGCAGCUUUUUAACCGAAACCAUAUCACCGUUAUAGGUGGAAAGUAAAUCUGAGUGUUUAUAUGGCCUUAUAACCGUGGAUAGUGGUUAAAAUGUAGACUACAGAAGGAAAAGUAUUUGCACACGCGAAAUAUGCGUACACUACGAAAAUACAAAAAAAACCAACCAUACUACGAAAACUGAAAUGUUCCUAUUUUAAAGAGUUUACAAAAACAUUGACAUUCCAUCAAUCUACAGAUAUAUGUAUUGAAUUCUUGCGAAAACCUAUUCCAACAUUAGUAAGAAUCUCUUAAUUAUACGGAAGUGUUCCUAACUAUUCGAAAUAUAAAUUAGCAAUAAACUUAAGGUAUACACAUGCACACUUGAGGCAAUCCUUAACAAUUCAAGAUGGAGGGCGUUAUCUUGAUAAGUUAAAAUAACAAGUCGCUCCAAACAAAAAUAUGAUAUCAUAUAGAUACAUAUAUAAUGGAUUAGAUUUAGUGAAAUGUAAACUGAGUUCCUAGCAUUUGAUUGCUUUUGCCUUUGUUUUUAUAUUAGAAUGUAGCCAAUGAAUACUAAGAUCUGCUUCAGUAUGCCGACUAUAAAAGCUGAAAUAUAUACAUACGUGGUUCCUAUUUUAUUUAGAAACACUGUACAAUAUUAAAGAAAUUCAUAUUAUUUACGUCAUUCUUAUACUGAGAGAAUCGUGCCAAUAAUUUGUUCUUCAAAAAAUUCAAAUUCCGUAUGAAAAGAAAAAGGGAGAGCAGAGAGAAAAGGAAAGGGGCUUUAGUUAAAUCAUGAAUUUUGUUUCGACCUAUAUCACAGUUUCCUUGUUAAGUAAUUAUUAUGACGUAUUAAGCAAUUCAUUCACAGUUAAAAACUUAUUAAAUAAAUAUUUAUUUCCAAUCAUUCUUUGUUUAUAACUUAAGUUUAAUAAACUAACUUCUGGGAGUAACAGGAGUUACUAUUUCACAAUUGUAUAACUUUUUCUCAAAUCUUCCAAUACAAAACAUAGAAUUUAAAGCAAAAACUCAGCUUGUUUGGUACGUUUACUUACAUGUAUAAUUUUAAAAUGUUCCUUGUCAUUGUAACUAUUAAUAAUUUGAAAGGACAAAUUUAGACCAUAAACAGUUACAACAUUUUUAAACAAAAUAGUAUUUGACUGAUAAUUAAAAUUAAAAUAUACAGCCCUAUAUUUAUUUGAUUUUAUUCUGCAUUACGUACAUUUAUACGUACUAGUACUCGUUUAUGUAUAAGUUCAUUGUUAACCGCAACUAAAUAUAACAUAUGUUGCGAAACAUAAGAAUCUACUAAGAAGUUCCUAUAGAAUUUAAUAAAAAGAUAUACAAAUAUAUUUACUUGUAAGUUCAGGAAUACUAUAUAUGACAAGAUUUUCUGUUCAUCUCACCAUUAAUUAGCGACAGGCAAUUUAUGUAAAAAUAAUGCCGUAUGUCCAUUCUAAUAUUAGAAUAUUGCAAAUAUGUGAAUGUUUGAAAUCCCAUAAUCAGUUUGUAAAAGAAUUAUUUAAAUACAUAUGUACGUACUUAAGCCUUCACAAUUGCCAACAAGCACAGAUUUGCAUAAAUGGACACAAUACCAUACUAACACCCGAUAACAUAUAUAUAUAUAGAUAUAUAUAUAUAUUAUUUAUAUAAUAUAUUUUACACAUUAUAUAUAUUUAUAUAUGUUUUCCAAAUUUGUGACUUCGAAAUAAUCGAUUUGAGUUUUUUUAAACAAUCUUAUUCAAAAUAUGAAUUCCAUAGGCAACACCAAAAUAAUAUGAGAUUUUAAGAUGAUAUCAAAACUUACAUUGCUCAACUGAUAGACACCACACAUACCGAUGUAUGUACGUAUAAAUAUACAACAUAUCACAAAUAUUACUAAAAAAAACUUAACAACUAUUAUUUUCCCUUUGAAAAAUUUUUUAAGUCAGACAUUACAAGCAUAUUUAUUAUUUUUUUACAAAUUGGGCAUAUAUUUUGUGUGUUCGGAAAUACUAAACACAUUUUGCACAAUCGUAUGCUCUUAGUUUCUCAAUUGAAAUAAUAUUUACCAUAUGACAACAAAUGUUUCUUAUAUUUAGUAUAAGUAAACAAAAGCGAAUAAGUAAUUUUAUUGUCAACUUAUUAAUUAAUCAAAGUUACUACAAAUACUGGUAAAACUUACAAAAG